GUCCAAAGCAUUCAAAGGAAUGAAAAAAUCAACACAACUAUAUAAUCCAGAGAGGAAAAGAUAUUUGUGGUGGAAGAUAAUCUUUCUGGAAAAAGUCCAGUUAUUGAAGACUUGCUUUCUGUUGAAGCACAUCUAAUCUCUGAACACACAGAAGACAACACACUUGUAGAUGGAAACAGUCGUUCUGAAAACAUUCCAAUUACUACCCUCUCAGGGGAAGAACAUCUAAUCUCUGAAGAUUCUGAGGAAAAGACACGUGUGGAUGGAGGAGAUAAUCUUUCUGAGAACCUUUCACUUACUACGGGCUUACUCUCAGGGGAAGCGCAUCUAAUGUCUGAAUAUUCUGUAGAUGAGAUACUGAUGGGUGAAGACACAAUCUAUGAGAACCUUUUAGUUACUACCCUCUCGGGGGAAGCACCUCUACUCUCAGAACUCA